AUAGAUGGGCAUUUGUCGCUGGUCCGUAUCCGGGUCCCCGGAUCCCCGGAUCCCAGGUCCGGCAACGGCAAUGAGGAAUUUCAUUAUAAUUUGCAUAAUUUAUGCGCGACCGUGAUUUGCAUAAUUAAGAUUUGUACAUUUGUGCAUGCCAGUCAUCAUUAGCUUAGGCUCCGCACUGCGGACCAAUUGUAAAUGGCUAGAUGGCUGGCCCGGGGAUUUUUUGGCUCGUACCUCGCGAUCCGUCAAGGGGUUGUCAUGGGUUAAUGGAUGACCCUCGAACUUGGCCGCGGGUAUGGACAUAAGUGCAUCUAUUCAAUAUGGGAGUAGGGUGGCCGUGUGGAAGUCGAAAAAGAAGAGCUCGAAUCCAAGCCGAGCACCAAAAGCAGAGCAGGAUGGAACAAAAACACAAAAAAUUGCAGGCCCGGACCACCACGCACAGGACACAGAAAGGACCACGCAACCGGGACCCGGGCGAAAACAAUGGGCACAACUUUGAUACGAGCACCGAGGGCAAAGGACGAAGGACGCAGGACGCAGGACGCAGGACGCUGGUCCGUGGGAGGAUCAGCAGGAGGAGGCGCAGGCUGGAUGGACCCAACAAUCCCCAAGUACAGCUCGGUAAAUGCCGACUGAGUCACCUCUGGUCUCUGGCCUACACAAAUAGAAAUCAUAAAUCAAACUCUUAAAAUAACAAGACGAAUCUAUAUUUCGGUGUAUAUUCUGUAUAAAAAACUAGAAACGUUAUACAACAAAGCCUCUUAAUGGUUAGAUAAAGACUAGAUAAAAUACAUAGAAUGUAGAAUUGAUAGAAUAACAGAUAAAUAAUUUUGCAUAUAAAUAAAUAAAAUUGUUUUAGACGUUUCCAAAUAAAUUAUGGCCAUAUCUGAC